UACGUAGGGCGCAAGCGUUGUCCGGAAUUAUUGGGCGUAAAGAGCUCGUAGGUGGUUUGUCGCGUCUGUUGUGAAAGCCCGGGGCUUAACCCCGGGUCUGCAGUGGAUACGGGCAGACUAGAGUGAUGUAGGGGAGACUGGAAUUCCUGGUGUAGCGGUGAAAUGCGCAGAUAUCAGGAGGAACACCGAUGGCGAAGGCAGGUCUCUGGGCAUUAACUGACGCUGAGGAGCGAAAGCAUGGGGAGCGAACAGG
rnacentral:rRNA from 1 species